GCCUUCGUGGUGUAAUGGUCAGCAUACCCGGCGCUUAAUCUUGAGGUCUAAGGUUCGAGUCCUGGCGAGGGCA
rnacentral:tRNA from 1 species